rnacentral:rRNA from 1 species
CCUUACGUGAAUACAUAGCGUAAGGAAGGCAGACCCAGGGAACUGAAACAUCUAAGUACCUGGAGGAAGAGAAAGAAAAAUCGAUUUCCUGAGUAGCGGCGAGCGAAACGGAAAGAGCCCAAACCAAGAAGCUUGCUUCUUGGGGUUGUAGGACACUCUAUACGGAGUUACAAAAGAAAGUUAUAAAUGAAGCGGUCUGGAAAGGCCCGCCAAAGACGGUAACAGCCCGGUAGUUGAAAUGGCUUUCCCUCCAGAGUGGAUCCUGAGUACGGCGGAACACGUGAAAUUCCGUCGGAAUCCGGGAGGACCAUCUCCCAAGGCUAAAUACUCCCUAGUGACCGAUAGUGAACCAGUACCGUGAGGGAAAGGUGAAAAGCACCCCGGAAGGGGAGUGAAACAGUUCCUGAAACCGUGUGCCUACAAGUAGUUAGAGCCCGUUAAUGGGUGAUAGCGUGCCUUUUGUAGAAUGAACCGGCGAGUUACGAUUUGUUGCAAGGUUAAGCGGAAAAAGCGGAGCCGUAGCG